AGAAAUUAAACUGAAGAGAGAAAUAGCUAUCUAGGUCUUUAGACUGGAAAAUAAAAAUAAACACGUGUAAUCAGAUUUGAAAUCCCCAAAUGAGAUUUUUAAGGGUGUUCUGGGAGGCUCUAGGUACGUUUAGUUUCCGUGUCCUGGGUAAGCCAUAUAAACUGUUUAUAUAAUAUAAUAUGUUUAUAUAUAAACAUAUGUUUAUAUAUAAACAUAUGUUUAUAUAUAAACAUGUUUAUAUAUAAACAUAUAAUAUGUUUAAUAUAAACAUAUUAAACUGAUUAAGUCACUAAUUAUGGUGCCUUAGGAUUUUCCUUGAAGGUCCAGGGCUUUGGACACUGACACUCCACUUCUACCAGAACAGCUUUGCUUUUAUUUGGUUAAUAUAGCAGGAAUCUGCUUAAGAUUUCACUGAGGAAACAGAAUUAUAGCACCACCUAUAGUCUGGCAAUGUGCUAUGAACUAAAAAAUGAAUCUCAAGAAUAGUGGGGAAGACAGAAAAGUGAAUUACAGUACAGUGUCAGGAAAAAAACCAUGAAGGGACAGUAAAGAAAGUCCAGUGAACUCCGAAGGGUCAAGGGAACAAGGAAGGUUUCCUGGAGUCUGUAACUGAAAAGGGAGGUAAGGAAGCUCAGAGAAUACUGCCGUUGCCCAAAGGAGGGAAGAGGAACGCAACAGUUACGCAACUCUGAAACGGGCGAAGUCUCCUGGAACGAACGAGGUUACAGAUCCGCGGACUAGGAUGGGCGCUAAAGUGAUUUCACGUGAUAGGCAAAGACCUACUUAAGCCAGCCUCUAGCUUUGCUCCGCCCCCAUCCCAUCUCAUCCUCCGUCAAAGGGGCGUGGCAUUUAAACAAAUGCACUCAGCUGGGAGGGUAUCCCAACCCUGAGGCCCGCGUCACCAGCGCGGGCGGGCGGCUGCGGAGUCUCCCAGAAAAGCUGGUAUCUCCCAGAGUGGUCUGGUUCGGGCUCCCCAGCCCCGGAGGGGCGGCUAAGAAGAAGGCGCUCACUGGUUGCUAUAGCGGCGAUCUAAGAGGCUGGGGAAAGUUGAUUGGCCGCAGGUUCGUAGCGCGGACCACGCCCACCCCUUCCGGCGGCUGCAAUCAGGUCACUGCAUAAAUGAAAAAUAUUAAUUAGGACAUUUAUAUUUUUAAGUGUCUGUAAUCCUCAUGUUGGAUCAUCAAAAAAGUGAGACAGUUCCAGAAAAAUAUCUACUUCUGCUUUAUUGACUAUGCCAAAGACUGACUGUGUGGAUCACAACAAACUGUGUAAAAUUCUUAAAGAAAUGGAAAUACCAGACCACCUGAC
rnacentral:lncRNA from 1 species